rnacentral:rRNA from 1 species
GACGAAUCAUCUGGAAAGAUGAAUCAAAGAAGGUAAUAAUCCUGUAGUCGAAAAUGUUGUCUCUCUUGAGUGGAUCCUGAGUACGACGGAGCACGUGAAAUUCCGUCGGAAUCUGGGAGGACCAUCUCCUAAGGCUAAAUACUCUCUAGUGACCGAUAGUGAACCAGUACCGUGAGGGAAAGGUGAAAAGCACCCCGGAAGGGGAGUGAAAUAGAACCUGAAACCGUGUGCUUACAAGUAGUCAGAGCCCGUUAAUGGGUGAUGGCGUGCCUUUUGUAGAAUGAACCGGCGAGUUACGAUUUGAUGCAAGGUUAAGCAGUAAAUGUGGAGCCGUAGCGAAAGCGAGUCUGAAUAGGGCGUUUAGUAUUUGGUCGUAGACCCGAAACCAGGUGAUCUACCCUUGGUCAGGUUGAAGUUCAGGUAACACUGAAUGGAGGACCGAACCGACUUACGUUGAAAAGUGAGCGGAUGAACUGAGGGUAGCGGAGAAAUUCCAAUCGAACCUGGAGAUAGCUGGUUCUCUCCGAAAUAGCUUUAGGGCUAGCCUCAAGUGAUGAUUAUUGGAGGUAGAGCACUGUUUGGACGAGGGGCCCCUCUCGGGUUACCGAAUUCAGACAAACUCCGAAUGCCAAUUAAUUUAACUUGGGAGUCAGAACAUGGGUGAUAAGGUCCGUGUUCGAAAGGGAAACAGCCCAGACCACCAGCUAAGGUCCCAAAAUAUAUGUUAAGUGGAAAAGGAUGUGGCGUUGCCCAGACAACUAGGAUGUUGGCUUAGAAGCAGCCAUCAUUUAAAGAGUGCGUAAUAGCUCACUAGUCGAGUGACACUGCGCCGAAAAUGUACCGGGGCUAAACAUAUUACCGAAGCUGUGGAUUGUCCUUUGGACAAUGGUAGGAGAGCGUUCUAAGGGCGUUGAAGCAUGAUCGUAAGGACAUGUGGAGCGCUUAGAAGUGAGAAUGCCGGUGUGAGUAGCGAAAGACGGGUGAGAAUCCCGUCCACCGAUUGACUAAGGUUUCCAGAGGAAGGCUCGUCCGCUCUGGGUUAGUCGGGUCCUAAGCUGAGGCCGACAGGCGUAGGCGAUGGAUAACAGGUUGAUAUUCCUGUACCACCUAUAAUCGUUUUAAUCGAUGGGGGGACGCAGUAGGAUAGGCGAAGCGUGCGAUUGGAUUGCACGUCUAAGCAGUAAGGCUGAGUAUUAGGCAAAUCCGGUACUCGUUAAGGCUGAGCUGUGAUGGGGAGAAGACAUUGUGUCUUCGAGUCGUUGAUUUCACACUGCCGAGAAAAGCCUCUAGAUAGAAAAUAGGUGCCCGUACCGCAAACCGACACAGGUAGUCAAGAUGAGAAUUCUAAGGUGAGCGAGCGAACUCUCGUUAAGGAACUCGGCAAAAUGACCCCGUAACUUCGGGAGAAGGGGUGCUCUUUAGGGUUAACGCCCAGAAGAGCCGCAGUGAAUAGGCCCAAGCGACUGUUUAUCAAAAACACAGGUCUCUGCUAAACCGUAAGGUGAUGUAUAGGGGCUGACGCCUGCCCGGUGCUGGAAGGUUAAGAGGAGUGGUUAGCUUCUGCGAAGCUACGAAUCGAAGCCCCAGUAAACGGCGGCCGUAACUAUAACGGUCCUAAGGUAGCGAAAUUCCUUGUCGGGUAAGUUCCGACCCGCACGAAAGGCGUAACGAUUUGGGCACUGUCUCAACGAGAGACUCGGUGAAAUCAUAGUACCUGUGAAGAUGCAGGUUACCCG